CCUACGGGUGGCAGCAGUGAGGAAUAUUGGUCAAUGGGCGGGAGCCUGAACCAGCCAUGUCGCGUGAGUGAAGACGGUCCUCUGGAUGGUAAGCCUCUUUAGGCGGGGAGCAAUGCCUGGCACGCGUGCCCGGAGUGAGAGUACCCGCAGGAUAAGCAUCGGCUAACUCCGUGCAGGCAGCCGCGGUCGUAGGGGGGAGGCGAGCGUUAUCGGGAUUGAUUGGGGUUAAGGGGUGCGUAGGGGGAUGUUUUAGUCAGCGUUAAAAUGUCGGGGCUAAACCCGGGACGGCAGUUGAUACUGGGGAGCUUGAGUGGGGGAGAGGGAUGCGGAAUGCGUGGUGUAGCGGUGAAAUGCAUAGAGAUCACGAAGAACUCCGAUUGCGAAGGCAGCAUCCCGGAGGCAGACUGACGCUGAGGCACGAAAGCGUGGGGAUCGAACAGGAUUAGAUACCCCUGUAGUC
rnacentral:rRNA from 1 species